rnacentral:rRNA from 1 species
UACGUAGGGGGCGAGCGUUGUCCGGAUUUAUUGGGCGUAAAGAGCGUGUAGGCGGCCAGGUAGGUCCGUUGUGAAAACUCGAGGCUCAACCUCGAGACGUCGAUGGAAACCAUCUGGCUAGAGUCCGGAAGAGGCGAGUGGAAUUCCUGGUGUAGCGGUGGAAUGCGCAGAUAUCAGGAGGAACACCGGUGGCGAAGGCGGGUCUCUGGGCAACAACUGACGCUGGAGGAGCGAAAGCGUGGGGAGCGAACAGG